rnacentral:rRNA from 1 species
AUGGGUGACUUUAAUGAAAUCAUGUUCAAUACCGAAAAAGAUGGCGGCAAUCCUCGUCCUGCUGGUAUGAUCCAUGCUUUCAGAUAAUGUUUAGAUGAUUGUGAGUUGCAUGAUAUGGGAGCUGUUGGAGAUAAAUUUACUUGGUGUCGUGCGGAGGUACCAGAGCGCCUAGAUGGAGCAGUGUGCAAUAACUUGUGGUCGAGUAUAUUCCAGAAAACAGAGGUGCUGAACGAGCCACACAAUAGGUCCGAUCAUCGGCCAGUUCUUGUGGAUACUGAGUUCUUUGAUGCUAGGAAAAUACACAAGUGGUCAGGUAACAGAAAGUUUGAGGCUAGAUGGCUUGCAGAGGAAACGGUACAGGAAAUAGUAACAACUGCAUGGGAAAAGGCGAAGACCCACGGGCUUGGUCCAUCCCUUGCUGCACGCACACAAGCCGUUCAUGCAGACCUACACCACUGGGAUCAAAUGGUCCGAGGAACCGGAUAA